rnacentral:rRNA from 1 species
UUGAACCUACGGGAGGCAGCAGUGGGGGAUAUUGCACAAUGGGGAAAACCCUGAUGCAGCGACGCCGCGUGGGUGAAGAAGCGCCUCGGCGCGUAAAGCCCUGUCAGCAGGGAAGAAAAUGACGGUACCUGAAGAAGAAGCCCCGGCUAACUACGUGCCAGCAGCCGCGGUAAUACGGAGGAUGCGAGCGUUAUCCGGAUCUAUUGGGUUUAAAGGGUGCGUAGGCGGAUUUUUAAGUCAGCGGUAAAAUGUCCGGGCUCAACCCGGGCCGGCCGUUGAAACUGGGGAUCUUGAGUGGGCGAGAA